AGCUAAAUAUGCACACCUAUAUGUGAUUUGAAAAGAAAUGUAUUUAAAAAUAUUCAACAAGUAUCUACCGCUUUUGAUAUGCGGAUCUCCACAUACGAUUAGUGCCGCGCCAAGCAAAUCAUAAACCUGUCCGCAGUGGAUCCAAAAGUAUCGAUCUCUCUCGGCCCUCUCUUCCUCUUCAAUGCACCGUCGCUGACUCAAACGAACGACGGCUUUUCUUUAACAGAAAAGAAGGGUUUCCCUACCAAAGCUUAAACCCCAACCUCAAACCCAUUUCCACCGCCGAGUCUUUUUGUAUCAACUACUAAGAUGGGCAGGCAAAAAGGAGAAGGAGCAAGAAGCAAGGCUCGCCCUUCAAGCAGCAGUCUAGCGGCAUCGCUUUUGCCGUCGGGUUCUACUGCAGCUGUGGGAUUUGGCGGCUAUGUCGGUAGGUCUCGCCUCGAUUCUUCUCUCGCUGGCGAGGAUUCUGCUUCCUUUCAGGAUAUAGAUAGUGAAGUGGCAGUUCAUUUGAAGAGGCUUGCGAGGAAAGAUCCGACUACGAAGCUUAAAGCAUUAUCAUCUCUAUCUGAGUUGAUCAAGGAAAAGCCUGGGAAGGACUUAGUGACCGUAAUUCCACAAUGGGCAUUUGAAUACAAAAGACUGUUGAUGGACUAUAACAGGGAAGUUAGGCGAGCAACUCAUGACACAAUGACCAACCUUGUAACUGCUGUCGGAAGAGACUUGGCUCCACAUCUCAAGUCUUUAAUGGGGCCAUGGUGGUUGUCUCAGUUCGAUUCAGUUUCUGAAGUUGCACAAGCUGCAAAGAGGUCAUUACAGGCGGCUUUUCCAGCAUCGGAAAAAAGACUAGAUGCUUUAAUUAUGUGCACAGAAGAGAUUCUUAUGUAUUUGGAAGAAUGUUUAAAUCUCACACCAAAAGACAUGACUGAUAAAGCUGCUGCCUUGGAUGAAGUAGAAGAGAUGCAUAAUCAGAUAAUAUCUUCAUCGUUACUGGCAUUGGCUACCCUCCUUGAUGUCUUGGUUGGUGUUCAAUUAGAAAGGUCAAGUUCUGACACUGAGAGUGUGGCUGCUCAACCAAAGAAUGCUUCAAAAGCUAGGCUGGUUGCUACCUCCUUUGCUGAGAAGUUGUUUGCUGCUCAUAAUUGUUUCUCGGACUUCCUAAAAUUUCAGAGUGCUGCAAUUCGUUCAGCUACAUAUUCAGUGUUAAGGAGUUUCGUAAAAAAUGUUCCUCAUAUUAUUAAUAAUGGCAAUAUGAAAUCUGUUGCUGGAUUAAUACUAGGUGCCUUUCAGGAGAAGGAUCCUGCUUGUCAUUCAUCAAUGUGGGAUAUGAUUUUGCUGUUCUCGAAAAGAUUUCCUGAUAGUUGGACAUCAAUAAAUGUCCAGAAAACUAUUCUAAAUCGUUUUUGGCAUUUUCUUAGAAAGGGGUGCUUUGGAUCCCAGCGGACUUCUUAUCCAGCUUUGGUUUUAUUCUUAGACUAUGUGCCACCAAAAGCUGUAGUUGGGGAGAAUUUUUUUCUUGACUUUUUUCAGAACUGCUGGGCAGGAGGAAGCCUUUCCAAUUCAUCAACUGCAGAUAGAUUAGCAUUUUUUGCAGCAUUUAAGGAGUGUUUUCUCUGGACAUUGCAUAAAGCUUCCAGGUAUUAUGACGGAGCGGAUUCAAUUCAUCAUUUUCGAGUCACACUUAUUGAGAAUGUUUUGGUAAAGAUUUUGUGGCAGAACUACUUUUCUUGCAUUGGUUCAAAUGAGCAACAGUAUUUAUCUAAGGAUAGUGGUUUUCCCUUGAGCAAGACUUUAGAAGCAUCCAAUGUUAAGUGUCCCAUUACUUACUUGCAAGACUUGAAGAACUGCAUAAUUGACAUCCUCUCGGGUAUCUUUGCCUUGGAGCCCAAUUUGCUCUCUGGCUUUUGUAUGGAAUUUCAGAAAAAUUGUUUGGGUUUAUUUCAACUCCCUUUGAACAUAGAUCCAACAAUUGAAAGUUUUGAACGGGUCUUUCAAUUUAUUAUUUUAAUAGGACAACAUGCUUCACAGAAAGGUGAAACUUGGCCUCUGGCUUAUGUAGUGGGACCAAUGUUGGCCAAAUCCUUUCCAAUGAUAAGAUCACUUGACUCACCAGAAGGUGUGAAACUUCUCUCAGUUGCCGUUUCUGUAUUUGGUCCACGCCAGAUUGUGCAAGAACUUUUUGUUCACAAUAAAGAGCAUUCCUUUAGUCCUGAUGAUCGGGUAGAUAGAAGUUUGGAGGCUGAUAAAUUUAUACAAAUAUUCAAGGAUACUUUUGUUCCCUGGUGUUUGCACAGUCAUGAUAGGUCAACAAGUGCUCGACUUGAUCUAUUGCUUUCUUUGCUUGACAAGGAAUGCUUUUCUGAGCAGUGGUGUGCUGCUAUCAUGUAUGCUAUUAACCUAGAAGAUUCUGGAACUUCAUCUGAGUCUCUAGAUUCGGACCAAAUAACCAUUUUGGCACUACUUCUGGAGAAAGCAAGACAUGGAAUUACAAAACUGAAGAAGGAUGAAGACUGCAGACACUGGAUAGCUGCAGAGCCAGAGCACUGGCACUCUGAGCCUCUAGAAUCAUUUACUGUUGCUUUAGCAUGUUCCCCAUUGUCCUACGGGACAUGUAAUUCUCGAUUUCUGUGUGCUGUUCUAGGUGGUUCAACUGAAGGCGAGCUUACUUCUUUUGUAUCUAGAAAGGCAUCAAUCCUGAUUUUUGAGGAAAUUUUGAAGAAGUUACUUUCUUUUAUCCAUGAGUCAUCAUUUGAUUGGGUUAGAGAUGCCGGCUCCAUGAUAACUGCUUGGGCAAUCAAUUCUGGGUUAGAAUCUAAGAGUUCUGCUAGCACAAAAGAGAUGUCUCAUUUUGCUCUUCAAGUACUUGAUGGUAGUUUUUUUUGCUUGAAGACACUCAUUAAGGAUAGUGAGUUAGUGCCAGGAAUUUUAGGUGCAGUUUUAGUUAUUGAUUGGGAGUAUAGCUUGAGAAAGUCAUUGGAUAACGUUGCUGAGAAUAAUGAAACUAACAUAGAAUCUAAGGCCAGGCUUGAAUUUGGUGAUUCUGUUCAUGCCUUUUGCUGUAAGAGAAAUAAGCAAUUUCGGAAUGGUCUUGACAUAAACAAUCUACAAAGAUUAUGGAGUAUCCUGAUUCAAUGCAUUAGAUCCUCCAUCUAUAAUGAAUGUAAAUUAAACACAGAGAUUAUCACUUCUUGGUGCUGCUCAUGGAUACUAGGCUUUUUAAGUUGUUUCUGUCAAGGUCAGUUGGAAGAACAAGUACUGUUAGAAAAGCUUCUGUGUGAGAAUGAUACGUGGCCUUUGUGGAUCGUUCCUGAUUUUAGCAGCCCAGAGCAAUUAGCUUUCAGAAAAGCAUCUAUUCAUGACUCAGGUCAUUGCAAGUUUGUUUCCUUUAUUGACAAGCUUUCAUUGAAACUUGGGAUUGAUAAGGUUCUUACUGGCUAUAGAAAGCUUGCACUCUUGUCGCCAGGAGGGACAACACUCUCUUCCUCAGAAGAGACAAUACAUGAAGACGUUACUGUUCGAUCCUGGCUUGCUGCUGAAAUAUUGUGCACGUGGAAAUGGCCUGGAGGCAGUGCUCGAGACUCUUUCUUACCUUUACUCUGUGCAUAUGCCAAGAAUAACACUUCUCCUUCAAAGGAGACCUUGUUAGACUCCAUUUUCAUCAUUUUACUUGAUGGUGCUCUUGUUCAUGGAGGCUGUGGCGGACUGAAUUUUGUCAUUCCAUGGCCUGCUUUAAAUGAUGAAGUAGAGCAUAUUGAAGAACCUUUUCUGAGAGCUCUUGUAUCUUUCCUUUCAACUUUGUUUAAGGAAAAUAUAUGGGAAACAUGCAACGCUAUCAAGCUGUUUGAACUGGUUGUUAAUAAGCUUUAUAUUGGUGAAGCAAUAAAUAUGAACUGUCUGAGGAUUCUUCCUUGGCUUGUUAACGUUUUACUUCAGCCACUGUGUGAUAGCAGAUCUGGUGAAGCUGAUAGAGAUGCUGAACAUGAUUCUUCAUGGAAUAAUCACAUCCAAGGCAUCAUUGCUGGUUGGGUCCAAAAAACUAUUCUGCUCCCACCUCUGGUCAUGUUGGAAACAGGGCAAGGUGUGGAAGAUUGGUUUCAGUUGGUUAUAAGCAGUUAUCCUUUUGUUGCAAUCGGGGGCAUACAAGAAUUGAGUCUGGGGAGAGUUAUCAGUCAAUUGGAGAGGACUCUUUUACUUGAAUUGUUUCGCAAACAGAGACAAGGUGUUGGCACAUCAAGUAUAUCUAAUAUGCCACCGGUGGUACAGCUGCUGCUAUCAAAACUAAUAGUAGUUUCAGUUGGUUACUGUUGGAAAGAUUUUAAUGACGAAGACUGGGAGUAUGUUUUAUUUCAAUUAAGGCGUUGGAUUCAAUCAUCUGUGGUUCUUAUGGAAGAACUUGCUGAGAAUGUGGAUGAAAAUAUUACUAACAACUUUACUUUAGAGAACAUGGAUGACGAUCUUAAAAAGCUUGAGCAAAUUGCUUUAAUUCCCGACUCUUUUCCUUUUGAUAUUGCUAAAAAUGCCCUUUUAUCUUUUUCUCUAUGUUGCGGACCUUUUGGAAUUAAGCAAUUAAAUGAUGCAGAAAAUAUAAAUCCUCUUGGAACAGAAAGAUGGGACCCCAUCAAGGAUCGGAUUCUAGAAGGUAUUCUACGUUUGUUCUUCUGCACAGGCAUUGCAGAAGCUAUUAGUAGUUCCUACUGCGAUGAAGCUGCAUCUGUCAUAUCUUCAUCUCGAUCUGAGCACCUCUAUUUCUGGGAGUUAGUGGCCUCGAGUGUAGUUAACUCUUCAGUAAAUGCUAGAGAUAGAGCAGUGAAGUCGGUAGAAUGUUGGGGCUUGAGCAAAGGGCCGAUCAGCUCUUUAUUUGCCAUCCUUUUUUCUUCCAAACCAGUUCCUUCAUUGCAGUUUGCUGCUUACGUUAUUCUUUCAACUGAACCUGUUUCAAACCUGGCUAUUUUGGAAGACAUCACUCACUUAGAUGGUAAUAUUAACAGUGAAGAGGAUUCACGCCCGAUUGAUCUGUCAGUGGAAACAAGCGUCCAUUUGAAAAAGGAAAUAGCUUGCAUGAUUGAAAAGUAUCCUUACGAGGUCCUUGAAAUGGACUUGAUGGCACAACAACGGGUAAAUGUAUUCCUUGCAUGGUCUUUGUUGCUUUCGUAUUUAUGGUCAUUACCAUCAUCAUCACCUGCAAGAGAAAGACUAGUUCAGUAUAUACAAAGUUUUGCUACUCCAGUUAUAUUAGAUUGCAUCUUCCAGCAUAUACCUGUAGAUCUUUCAAUUUCACAAAAUACUAAGAAGAAAGAUGUAGAGCUUCCUGCAGGGCUAUCAGAAGCUGCAAUCGCAGCAACCCAUGCCAUCAAAACUGGCUCAUUAUUGUUUUCCAUAGAGUCUCUUUGGCCUGUUGAACCAGUGAAAUUGGCAUCACUUGCUGGAGCAUUAUAUGGUUUAAUGAUCUGUGUUCUUCCUGCUUAUGUUAGAGAAUGGUUUAGUUGUUUGCGUGAUCGAUCUACGUCAUCUUCAAUUGAAUAUUUCACCAGGGCAUGGUGUAGUCCAAGUCUUAUAGCGAACGAGCUGUCACAGAUAAAGAAAAAUAAAUUUUCAGAUGAGAAUUUUUCAGUUAGUGUAAGCAAAUCAGCAAAUGAGGCUGUCGCUACCUAUACAAAGGAGGAGACAGGAAUGGACCUAGUUAUCCGGCUUCCUGUUUCUUACCCAUUACGACCUGUAGAUGUUGAUUGUACAAGGAGCCUAGGAAUUAGUGAUGUAAAGCAGAGAAAGUGGUUAAUGUCUAUGAUGUCUUUUGUUCGCAAUCAGAAUGGAGCUUUGGCUGAAGCUAUUGGGAUAUGGAAGCGGAAUUUUGACAAGGAAUUUGAAGGUGUUGAAGAGUGCCCUAUAUGUUACAGUGUUAUUCAUACUGCAAACAACAGCCUUCCUCGUCUUGCUUGCAAAACUUGCAAGCAUAAAUUCCAUUCAGCUUGUCUUUACAAGUGGUUCUCAACCUCUCAUAAAUCAACCUGCCCAUUGUGCCAGUCUCCCUUUUAAAAUGAAAAUUGAAUUUUAGUUGUGGGUUUCAUGGACAUUGCAAUUCCCAUUGAACCUUUCUGCCAAAGAAGUUGAUCUUGAUGAAGUUAAAGAAGAAAGUAUAAACAUGCAUAAACAAAUAGUUUGAAUUAUUGUGGAAGACUGUUAACGAGCGGUGUGAACCAGAAUAUGAUUGUCUCCCGAAUGUAUACAUAUAUGGUCCAUAUAUCCAGGUUUUGAGAUCUCAUAUAUGGUCCAUUCUGGUUGGAGAGCAAAUAUAUGCCGAGCUCUUGCUACAAUGUACUUGUUCUGCGGACACGUGGUAGAUCGAUUCCAAGCCAUAGUGAGUAGAACAUGUUGUUCGAGUCUUUAGUGCCAUUUUUUUUUGGGUUCUCUUUGUAAUAUUAAUUCUAGUCAGAGGUGAGACGUGAAUACAGUAGAAUGUACAGAUACAGAACUAGUCCUUUCUCACGAGUUCUCUACUCAAGUUUUGCAAAUUAAGUAAUAAUAUUCAUUAUGCUUUA